rnacentral:rRNA from 1 species
CCUACGGGUGGCAGCAGUGGGGAAUAUUGGUCAAUGGGCGCAAGCCUGACCCAGCAACGCCGCGUGAAGGAAGAAGGCUUUGGGGUUGUAAACUUCUUUUCUCAGGGACGAAGAAAGUGACGGUACCUGAGGAAUAAGCCACGGCUAACUACGUGCCUGCGGUCGCUGUAAGACGGAGGUGGCAAGCGUUAUCCGGAUUGUGUGGGUGUAAAGGUCGGGUAGGUGGGAGUGCAAGUCAGAUGUGAAAACUCAGGGCUCAACCCUGAGCCUGCAUUUGAAACUGUGUUUCUCGAGUGCUGGAGAGGCAAUCGGAAUUCCGGGUGUAGCGGUGAAAUGCGUAGAUAUACGGAGGAACACCAGUGGCGAAGGCGGAUUGCUGGACAGUCACUGACGCUGAGGCGCGAAAGCGUGGGGAGCAAACAGGAUUAGAUACCCGAGUAGUC